GACGAACGCUGGCGGCGUGCCUAACACAUGCAAGUCGAACGGAAAGGCCCUGCCUUUGUGGGGUGCUCGAGUGGCGAACGGGUGAGCAACACGUGAGUAACCUGCCCCUGACCUUGGGAUAUCCUCAGGAAACUGGGUCUAAUACCGGAUAGGAGCUCCUGCUGCAUGGUGGGGGUUGGAUAGGUUCGGUGGUUGGGGAUGGACUGGCGGCCUAUCAGCUUGUUGGUGUGGUAGUGGCUUACCAAGGCUUUGACCGGUAGCCGGCCUGCGAGGGUCACCUGCCAAGAUGGAACGGAGAUACGGCCCAGACUCCUACGGGAGGCAGCGGUGGAGAGUGUUACACAGUAGGCGGAAGCCUGGUGCAGCAACGCCGCGUGCGGGAUGACGUCCUUCGGGUUGUGAACCGCUGUCGCCUUAGCCGAAACGUGAGUGACGGUAAUGGGUAAAGAAGCACCGGCUAACUACGUG
rnacentral:rRNA from 1 species